GGCGGCGGUCGCGGCGGCUCCCGGACGGUGGAAGGUAGUGGAAGUGGAAGAAGAAGGAAAAGCGCUGCCGCGCAUGUGCUGACCGCGUAGGGAAGAGCGGGGUUCUGAGUCCGCGCUAAGAAUCCGGAUAUGAAACCCUGCGUCCCGAGACUGGCGCAGCGCGUAGUGUCGCAACUUCCGGGAGCAUGGUGGGCGGUGCUGCUAAGGAUUGAGGGAGCGUGUCAAACUUGAGCUCUUUCGUCAGUGCUAGAAAUGGACGUUUAGUUAUUGAAGCCCGCUGACGAGGGGAGCCAACAAGAGAGGGAUGUCGGCAUCGGGUAUGCAGUUCCAAGAACUGAUUGGCUAUGGAGACUAGAAGUUGGGUGAAAAUUCUCAUAAACUCGGGCAAACGAAUUGAUGAUUUUUCCCUGGAACCUUUGCAACGGAAACCGGCCCCAGGCAUGCGCCUUUUGAGCCGAGGAGCAAAAGGGGCAACUCAGCGGCGGCACCUGCCUCCCCGGAAAUCCUUGGAGGGGGCGGGGCUCUGGGAGCGCGCUCUUCCCAGCGGGAGCUGGGGAGGCGCACGCGUACUUGCGUCAUCGUGGGGGUGCGUCGCGGCGGCGUGAGAGAAUCUGUGGCCUGCGACCGGCCUUGGUCUCUUCUGUCCCCGCCCCGAAGCCGCCUGCUCAAGCUGAGGGCCACCGGCUUCUAUCCGUCGGUGUCGGUGCUCGUUGCCUCCCAGCCAGAGCGUCUCUUCCCUGGGCCCGGAGCCCCAGGCUCGCUCUCCUCAGCCCGUGCUGGCAGCUGCGCUCUUGCCGCCAUUCCUGUGAGGUCGUUUUCCGGAGCCGGCGGGCUGGCGGAGGAGUCAGUAAUAAUUCGCACUUUCUUGGAACAACUGCCAUGGCUAACAACCUGACUGCUGGAUAUCCUUCAAAAUGCACUGGUAAAGCUCAAGUGCUUUCUUCUGCUGCAGUUCCUGGGAAAGAUCUUGCAAUUACCCACACUUGUGUUUGCCUUCCUGUGUUUGGGAUCUAUAUAGUUGACUGA
rnacentral:lncRNA from 1 species